UGAUUAAGAAAGUUAAUGUUAUUAGGGUACACUUUAGAGGGACCUGGCCCCUUGAGCUAGAAGCUAAAUUAAAUGAUCACAAACAAGAUUAGUCAACAACAGACCAAUGCAAAGAGAUGCACUUUGUCCCCAAAGUGAUUAGUCAAAGCUACAAAUGAGAUGCAAACAUCCUUUUUGAAAGCCUGAUCUAAACUACAUUACAUGCUCUUUGCACACAUGAAUUGUGAAGCUCAUCACGGUUGCACUAAUACAACAGGAAUGCUUAAUGCAUAGAAUCAAAGUGUGGCAGCUGGUUUUGUGUGAAUUAUUGAACCAGGUCAGUGACAUGUAGUCUGCAGGAGCAAGUGACACACAAACAGACUCUGACACAAAUCUGAUCCCCGAGGCUAUUUAGUUUAUGAAGAUGUGCUACCUGCAUUUAUCUUCUUCCUACAGAUGAUUUACCGUAAUAGUUCACUUGAGACAUAAAUACACAUAUAUGCAAAAAUAAAUGUACACAAUUCUUUAAUAUUUAAAGCAGAGUGACUCAAAUCUAAUUAACAUACAGUAUGCAUCAUAUGCAGAUGAGCUGAGUCAGGUUUGAUGCCAUUGGUUCACAAGGGAAAGCUUUUCAGUGACUAAUAAGUUGAAAUUAGUCUUUGAAGUCAGACUCACUAGUGUAUGACUUUAUUAGACUUGAAAUAUCCCAGCUAGCAGAGAAUGUUCUCAGACCUUUGGCUUACAUUCUGGCAAGGUUCUCUCAAAGUACAAACGUUCUUCCAGUAACGUUAACAAAAUGUUCAUUCAGAGUUAUCUGGUCUUUAAUAAUGUUCUUAAAACGUUAGCACAGAAACAUUAUUUAUACAUCAUUCAUGGAACUUUUUUUUUCAUUUGAAAUUUCCCAGCAGGCACUGGACGUCAAUAUAACGUCAUACUGACAUUGGAUCCCAACGUUGGACAGACGUUGUAAUUUGGUUGAAAAUGAAAAUCGGGUUGACGACAGAACCCAACGUCAGACUGACGUCAAUCUCUGACGUUGGCCUGAGACGUUGGCUCGACGUUGGGUUUAGGUUAGUUAAUGUCACAACCUAAAAACAAACUAAAGAUCAAAGUCAAAUGAUGUUAUAAUUGGACGUUGAUUCGACGUUACCAUUAUGACGUCUUGAAGACAUUGGAUUUUGGUUGCCAUACCUGACGACUAAGUAUCAGUAUUUGAUGUCAAACUGACGUUGGCUUGAGACGUUGUCUUGA
ensembl:lncRNA